rnacentral:rRNA from 1 species
UACGUAGGGUGCAAGCGUUGUCCGGAAUUAUUGGGCGUAAAGAGCUUGUAGGCGGUUUGUCGCGUCUGCUGUGAAAUUUCGGGGCUCAACCCCGAACUUGCAGUGGGUACGGGCAGACUAGAGUGUGGUAGGGGAGAUUGGAAUUCCUGGUGUAGCGGUGGAAUGCGCAGAUAUCAGGAGGAACACCAAUGGCGAAGGCAGAUCUCUGGGCCGUAACUGACGCUGAGGAGCGAAAGCAUGGGGAGCGAACAGG